UGCCUGUGAGAUGCGCAGCGCCCGCCGGGAAAUGUAGUCUUCUAGUUGAGGAGCGCUGUCACUCUGAGGCAUAAGACAGUGCAUGGAAGGGGGCCCUUCCCCUGAAGCACAGGGAUCCUAGUACUGGUUUCACCCUCAAUGAAGAAUGAUUCUCCCUCUACCAGCAACUGUCAACUGCAAGUAACUCCUGAGUAAAGGGUGGGGUCUGGAGAUUACCCCACCUAUGCAGGAAUCUCGGAUGACUUGUUCUUACAUAGGCCUUGUGCAGCUGUGGGAUUCCGUUGCUGUUCCCCAUUUGAGCAGAAGACUGUGACCUGUGAUUCUAACCCUAAAUAAAUAACCCUUCAUUAUA